GCGGGUGUAGUUCAGUGGUAGAACCUUAGCCUUCCAAGCUAAUGACGUGAGUUCGAUUCUCAUCACCCGCU
rnacentral:tRNA from 1 species